UACGAAGGGGGCUAGCGUUGCUCGGAAUUACUGGGCGUAAAGCGCACGUAGGCGGAUUGUUAAGUCGGGGGUGAAAUCCUGGAGCUCAACUCCAGAACUGCCUUCGAUACUGGCGAUCUCGUGUUCGGGAGAGGUGAGUGGAACUGCGAGUGUAGAGGUGAAAUUCGUAGAUAUUCGCAAGAACACCAGUGGCGAAGGCGGCUCACUGGCCCGAUACUGACGCUGAGGUGCGAAAGCGUGGGGAGCAAACAGG
rnacentral:rRNA from 1 species